CAGCGCCACGAGUGGGGACCUUUUUUAUUGGGCCUAAAGCGUCCGUAGCUGGUUUAGUAAAUCUCUUGUGAAAUCGUUAAGCUUAACUUAACGGCAUGCAGGAGACACUACUUUACUUGAGACCGGGAGAGGUAAGGAGUAUUUCGGGGGAACCGGUAAAAUGGGAUAAUCCUCGAAAGACUACCUGUGGCGAAGGCGCCUUACUAGAACGGAUCUGACAGUGAGGGACGAAGGCUAGGGGAGCAAACCGGAUUAGAUACCCGAGUAGUCC
rnacentral:rRNA from 1 species